rnacentral:rRNA from 1 species
UACGUAGGGGGCGAGCGUUGUCCGGAGUUACUGGGCGUAAAGCGCGUGUAGGCGGUUGUUUAAGUCAGGUGUGAAAUCCUAAGGCUCAACCUUGGAACUGCGCCUGAAACUGAAUAACUGGAGUCUUGGAGGGGCAGCCGGAAUUCCUGGUGUAACGGUGAAAUGUGUAGAUAUCAGGAGGAACACCUGUGGCGAAAGCGGGCUGCUGGACAAUGACUGACGCUGAGACGCGAAAGCGUGGGUAG